CUGCUAUCCGGAGUUCGAUUAAGCCAUGCGAGUCGAGAGGUGCAAGACCUCGGCAUACUGCUCAGUAACACGUGGACAACCUAACCUAUGGAGGGGGAUAACCCCGGGAAACUGGGGAUAAUACCCCAUAGACUAUGAAUGCUGGAAUGCUUUGUAGUUGAAAGGUCCGCCGCCAUAGGAUGGGUCUGCGGCCGAUUAGGUUGUUGUUGGGGUAACGGCCCAACAAGCCUGUAAUCGGUACGGGUUGUGGGAGCAAGAGCCCGGAGAUGGAUUCUGAGACACGAAUCCAGGCCCUACGGGGCGCAGCAGGCGCGAAAACUUUACAAUGCGGGAAACCGUGAUAAGGGAACUCCGAGUGCCCGUAAAAUCGGGCUGUCCAUCUGUUUAAAUAACAGGUGAAGAAAGGGCCGGGCAAGACCGGUGCCAGCCGCCGCGGUAAUACCGGCGGCUCGAGUGGUGGCCACUAUUACUGGGCUUAAAGCGUUCGUAGCUGGUCUGUUAAGUCUCUGGGGAAAUCU
rnacentral:rRNA from 1 species